AGAGUUUGAUCCUGGCUCAGGACGAACGCUGGCGGCACGCUUAACACAUGCAAGUCGAACGAGAGAAGAGGAGCUUGCUUUUCUGAUCUAGUGGCGGACGGGUGAGUAACACGUGAGCAAUCUGCCUUUCAGAGGGGGAUACCGAUUGGAAACGAUCGUUAAUACCGCAUAACAUAAUUGAACCGCAUGAUUUGAUUAUCAAAGAUUUAUCGCUGAAAGAUGAGCUCGCGUCUGAUUAGCUAGUUGGUAAGGUAACGGCUUACCAAGGCGACGAUCAGUAGCCGGACUGAGAGGUUGAUCGGCCACAUUGGGACUGAGACACGGCCCAGACUCCUACGGGAGGCAGCAGUGGGGAAUAUUGCACAAUGGAGGAAACUCUGAUGCAGCGAUGCCGCGUGAGGGAAGAAGGUUUUAGGAUUGUAAACCUCUGUCUUCAGGGACGAAAAAAGACGGUACCUGAGGAGGAAGCUCCGGCUAACUACGUGCCAGCAGCCGCGGUAAUACGUAGGGAGCGAGCGUUGUCCGGAAUUACUGGGUGUAAAGGGAGCGUAGGCGGGAUCGCAAGUCAGAUGUGAAAACUAUGGGCUUAACCCAUAAACUGCAUUUGAAACUGUGGUUCUUGAGUGAAGUAGAGGUAAGCGGAAUUCCUAGUGUAGCGGUGAAAUGCGUAGAUAUUAGGAGGAACAUCAGUGGCGAAGGCGGCUUACUGGGCUUUAACUGACGCUGAGGCUCGAAAGCGUGGGGAGCAAACAGGAUUAGAUACCCUGGUAGUCCACGCCGUAAACGAUGAUUACUAGGUGUGGGGGGACUGACCCCUUCCGUGCCGCAGCAAACGCAAUAAGUAAUCAACCUGGGGAGUACGACCGCAAGGUUGAAACUCAAAGGAAUUGACGGGGGCCCGCACAAGCAGUGGAGUAUGUGGAUUAAUUCGAAGCAACGCGAAGAACCUUACCAGGUCUUGACAUCGUAUGCAUAGCUCAGAGAUGAGUGAAAUCUCUUCGGAGACAUAUAGACAGGUGGUGCAUGGUUGUCGUCAGCUCGUGUCGUGAGAUGUUGGGUUAAGUCCCGCAACGAGCGCAACCCUUACUGUUAGUUGCUACGCAAGAGCACUCUAGCAGGACUGCCGUUGACAAAACGGAGGAAGGUGGGGAUGACGUCAAAUCAUCAUGCCCCUUAUGACCUGGGCCUCACACGUACUACAAUGGCUGUCAACAGAGGGAAGCAAAGCCGCGAGGUGGAGCGAACCCCUAGAAGCAGUCUUAGUUCGGAUUGUAGGCUGCAACCCGCCUACAUGAAGUCGGAAUUGCUAGUAAUCGCAGAUCAGCAUGCUGCGGUGAAUACGUUCCCGGGCCUUGUACACACCGCCCGUCACGCCAUGGGAGUCGGUAACACCCGAAGCCUGUAGUCUAACCGCAAGGAGGACGCAGUCGAAGGUGGGAUUGAUGACUGGGGUGAAGUCGUAACAAGGUA
rnacentral:rRNA from 1 species